GUGUGUGAUGUGUGGAGAGGUUUCAAAACUUCACCUCCAGUCAGUAACAAGAAUUUGAAAUCUUUCCUUAUUAGACACAGAGCCAAGGUCCACCAGAUGGCGCCAAAACUAUACGCGGCUCAGUAAGAUGCAUCCAGAGGCCAACACUGGAAAUCGGGAGUCCACUUCAACAGACCUGGGGAGAGUGAGCGAGUACGCCAUACAGGAACUCGGCUGAUGGCGGGAAAGACAGAGAAACGUGGACUGUGUGCCAGGUGGUCCACAUAUGAUGAGGAGGAGGGCCCUGGCUGAAGAUAAAGUCAGGAUAGAACGAGAGAAACAGUGAAGUUCUCUUCCAUACUGUACACUGACAACGCAAACCGCUGGCAUUUACAGUCAUCUGCGUCUGAAGUUUGUCUCAGAGAGUCCUAGCAUUUCCACCGGAAGCUCCCCAGAACAUCCAUUUCUUCCUGGAACCCUGUUCUCCAGACUUGGCACCAUCUCCGGCUCAUAGGCUAGUACCAUAUACGUGAUUAUAAAUGCCAAGAAUAUUGAUAAUUUGGAAAACAUACCAAUACAGUGAGAAAUAAAUCUGCCUAGGAUUUA